AGCGAUCGUGGGUGACGGCGACCACCGUGCCCGGGAAGCGCGUGAGGAACUGUUCGAGCCAGUCGACCGAUUCC
rnacentral:tRNA from 1 species